rnacentral:hammerhead_ribozyme from 1 species
AUCCAGCUGAUGAGUCCCAAAUAGGACGAGAAGCACGUCCUGAAU